AAUUAAAAAAUUUAUUUUAAUAAUUUUUAUAAAAAAUAUUUUUUAGUUUAAUUAUGAUAAAAGAAAAAAUUAAUAUAAUAAUAGUAUAUAGUAUAGUGAUAGAAAAUUUAAAUAAUUGAAAAUUUAAAUUUUAAAAAGAAAAAUUAAUUUUUUGUACCUUGUGUAUCAGGGUUUAUUAAAUAAAUAUUAUACAUUUAAUUUUCUCGAUUUUGAAAGAGUUAUAAAUUUAUAAAUUUUAUUGUUUAAUCAAUAUUUAAAAUAAUUUUAUAGUAAUGAAACGUUAUUCGUUUUUAAAUAUAUCUAGUUUUUUUAGAAAUAAAUUUAAUUUAUUUAUUAAUAUAAAUUCUUUUUCUUAUAAAAUUGAAUUUUAUUAAUAAAAAAUAUUUUUAGGGAUAAGCUUAAAAAUAUCUUUAUAUAAAAAUAUAUUAAUAUAAAAAUAAAUGUAGGAUUAAAAAUUUCUUUCAAUUUUAAUUUGUUAUAAUUAAUUUUAUUUAAAAUAUUAUUUAAAUUUUUUUUAUAUUUUUUAUAAAUAUAAUAAAUUUAAUUUUAAAAUUUAUGUAAUAAUGAUAAAAUUAGUAUAAUUUUAUAUUAAAAUUAUUUUUUAAUUUAAGGUUAAAUUAAGGAAUUCGGCAAAAUAAUUUUUCGCCUGUUUAUUAAAAACAUGUCUUUUUGAUAAUAAUUUAAAGUCUAGUCUGCCCAAUGAAUUAUUUUAAUGGCCGCAGUAUUUUGACUGUGCAAAGGUAGCAUAAUAAUUAGUUUUUUAAUUGAAAGCUGGAAUGAAUGGCUGAACGAGAAAAUUACUGUCUCAAUUUAAUUUAUUUAGAAUUUUAUUUUUAAGUUAAAAAGCUUAAAUAUUUUUAAAAGACGAGAAGACCCUAUAGAGUUUUAUAUAAAUAUAAUAAUUUUAUUUAGAAAUUUUAAUAUUAAAAUUUAUAUUUUAUUGGGGUGAUAAUUAAAUUUAAAUAACUUUAUUUUUUAAAAAUCAUUACUUUAUGAAUGUAUGAUCCAUUAUUUAUGAUUAAAAGAUUAAAUUACCUUAGGGAUAACAGCGUUAUUUUUUUAGAGAGUUCUUAUCGAAAAAAAAGAUUGCGACCUCGAUGUUGGAUUAAAAUUUAUGUAUGGUGUAGAAGCUAUAUUAUUGAGUCUGUUCGACUUUUAAAAUUUUACAUGAUCUGAGUUUAAACCGGUGUGAGCCAGGUUGGUUUCUAUCUUUAAAACAAAAAAAUAUUUUAGUACGAAAGGACCAAAUAUU
rnacentral:rRNA from 1 species